CUGUAGACUAGUGACUUUCAGUCUUUCCUCACUCAUAGCAGACUGCUCUUGCUCCUGUGAGUAAUCCCUAAGGAAGUCAUAGCCCUGAUAAGCCAUGCGGGGGGAUUUGGGCAUCCUUGGAUUUUGACAUCUGAAGAGGGGUCCUGGGACCAAUCUCUCAUGGCCAUCAAGGGACAACUGUACUGCUAAAAAUUUUAUAUGCACCUUAUUUAAUUCUGAAACAGUUCUAUGAGGAUGGCCUUCUAUAUAUGGGAAAUAAUUCUGGCUCAUGCAACCCCACGGUUGGUGGAAUGGUGGAUGAUGUGGAUCCAUGCAGUGUCUUCUCCCUCUUGCCAGGCUCUGCUGCAGAGUGGCUGGUCUCAGUGGUCCCUGGGAUGGGUGAAUACUGAGUUGCAAUGAACCUAUCCUACUUUUAUGAGAGAAUUCCACUAUAUCUGACCACAUGGACUUUGAUCUUGCUCUUCAUUGUCAGACACCUCUUCUCCCCAGCCCCAGACAUUACCGACCAAGAUGCUCUAAGAGCCACAGUGCUUUCCUAAAUUAGCAUCUGGGCAAACCUGUAUUCCAUCAUUGCUUUGUGUAAACUGAGGUUUUACCAUUUUAGCUCACUCCUGCUGGUACCUCUAUAUUGUUUCUCUGAAUCUUGUUGAAGAUGGUCGUAUGUCUGGCUUCUCUUGGAGCCUUCCAGCCUUCCCUAGAACACUUAAGCAGGUAGGCUUACUCUGGAGAUUCUUCCCCCAUCGCUAUCUGAAGU
ensembl:lncRNA